rnacentral:tRNA from 2 species
CCAGGCUUAGCCAAGCGGUAAGGCAUCCGCCUUUGGCACCAACGUCCCACGUUCGAACCGUGGAGCCUGAACCA